GCUCAAGGGAGCACAUCAAUGGGAUGAAAAUAGAGGAAUUUUCUACAACUGAAGAUAUGUUCUCCAGGAGAAGGACUCCUUGGGUUAACCGUGGUGACCCCUGUGUUCUGCCCUUCUUCAUGCUCACAAAUUGGGUUCCCUGACAAGCUGACACUGAGAUGGAAAUUAGCAUGACAAAAGUGUAUUGAAGAAUGUUGUCAGAUUCAUUUUCUAUAGUAAUGUGAAUAGUGGAUUCUGAGUGGAGCUGGACAGAAUCGAGUUCAACAAUGCCAUCUUUCGAUUGGGAAGUUUCUUGCCAAAAGCUCUUCAAGAAAAUGUA